rnacentral:misc_RNA from 1 species
AUAUAAUUAGAAUUUAGUUUAGAUAAGAUUUGCCAUUAGUGUCAAGUUAUGAUAGUUUAAACUUUAAAGCCCUUUAAUUUAGGGGGGAAAAAAAAGACCUAUAAGUUGAUGUAUUUGUGAAAACAUGUCAUAUUUUGAUAUAUUUUGUUUGUUUUGCAUGGCUACAUAUUAUUUUAAUCAGUUUCUAAAAUUCAUACCAAAUCUUACAAUUCGAUUCGACCUGACUCUCUAUUCCAGAUUCACAAAAGGAGGAUUUUGAUUCUCGAUUCGACAACUACGAAAGCAAUACAAAAAAUUAGGGACAAAGCAGAAUCCUUUUUUUGACAUGUAAUUUACCAAACAUUGAAUAAUAAUUUGUCAUGAUUCUUUUUAAUGAUUGCACUAAUGCAUCAA